UUUUUUUAUUUUUCGUUCGGAGUCUCAUCCCGACUUGUGGGGGAAUCACAGUCUCCAUCAUCCUUUCCUCACUUCGGACAGUUGUAGCGACCCGACCCGAAUGGAUCAAGUCUACUGUGCUCCGGUGUCAUCCCUGGAUCAGUAAUGCUGACACCACACAGUACAUCAAAGAAUUUAUAGCAGAGUGGCAAUCACACACUUAUUACAUCGAUGUCUCCGAAGAGAACUUAUUACAAUAAUAUGGCUUAAGGCCAUCUAAUAUCGAUAACAGCGGAAGACUUGGAAGGUAAAUGGGUCCAUCAACUCCAACGGCAUCACUAAGUAUAGAACCACGACCUAAAAGCACCUUAAUCGUCGUCUGAAAAGUCUGCAACAUUAACGUUGCAGCCCGAAACGGGUCAGCACAUGGAAUAUGAUGGCAAGGUAACACAUAGAGAGUAAUGGAAUGUAACAGCUAUACUAUAUGCAUAUUUGGCUGGUGGAAAGCUCUAUGGUUACUGUUUUGCGUAAAGCCAAUUUUUCCGUACUGCAAAGGAAUAAAUUUAUUUAACUAUCAUGGUGGUUGUUAAACAUUGAGAAUGGUUGACAACAUUCUCAAUCCCAAUUAAAAGUAAUCAUUAAAACCCAACAAUAUUAAUUAGAAGUAACAUGAUGAGAUUCACAUGAUAUUCAGGUACUAGAUACUCAAGAUGUCCAUAACCGGGGACACGGCUAAUCAUGAUUAGUUUAUUACACUCUGCAGAGGUUUGCGCACUUUUCCCCACAAGACUCGAUCGCCUCCGUUGGAUUUCUCGCACUACUGGUGUUUGAGAAACGGAUGACCGAGACACAGUCUUUCAGAAGCGCUAGCACCUUACGAUGGAUAGAUCGGAACACCUACUUUCCCCUACAUCUGCUAGUCUACCCUGUAAGAGUUCGCACGACUUAGUCAACUAUGCCAGAGCCCAUAAUGGCUUGUGGCUGCACAUGUAAGUAUUUAGCAUGAAAGAUCUUAUGAUCCCUUUGAGUCUGGGUGGCGGUCCAAAAUAAAAUAGGCAAGUCCUGAUAGACAUCAGGUGCCUCAAUCCACCCAGAUGUGUGUUUAAGUUGCCACCUUAGAUAAACCCUUAAAAUUAUCGCACUCACAUCUGUCAUGGAUAUCACUCACCCAAUCCACGUCUACUAGCAUAGCAUGGCAUAAUAAGCAAACGUAGAAGUAACUCCCAAAGGUUUCAUAAUAAAUAGGUAAUAGGUACUACCUCAUCUACUUCCCAUCCCACAAUUUAAUUAGAUCCUAAUCAUGCAAUGUGUGAGGAUGGAUCUAAUGCAAUAAAACUGGGUUGUAGAAAAGGUAUGAUCAAAGUGUUACUUGCCUUGCUCAUGAUCCGCGAGUCCUAGGGAUUCGAAGUAACAAGCGGCGCAAUCCGGGUAAUCUAUCGCAGACAUACAACAAGCAUACAAUAAGUACUCAUCUAAUGCAUAGGUAAAACUCGAACAAAAGAUCGAACUAGAUAGUUCAACUUAAGAACUCCGGUUGCAAAGAAAGAACGAACCGAACAAAGAAACCGAAAACAAACGGCGGAAGAAAACAACUCGGUUCUAGCAAGUUGAAGCUAGGUCAAAUUUUACUGUAGCAAAAACUGGUUAAAGUUGGUUAGUCGGAACGGCGGUUUCGAAACGAAACUCCAGGCGCUUGAAUCACCUGAUUCUGAUAAACGAGCGAAAAGAUAAACUAGAACGAAGAUCGGAUCUGAGAUCGCGAUUGCGGAAUAAAUCCGACAAAAAGAAAAAGAAGAACGGUCAAACGAACGGACAUUCGUUAACCUAGAAGAAUCCGGUGAUCACGUUCGUUAGGACGAACGGUCCGGCGAACGGUCUCUAGGCAACUAAACCGGAAAAGAAAACAAAUCUCAUCUAGGGUUUUGAAAUAGAAAACCGAACGAAAAACCGAUCUAGAAAACCGGAACGGUUUAGAGAAGAAACGGAACGAUUUAGAAGAAAACCAAUCCGAGGAAAAGAAAAAGAGAUGCGGCGCGGUACCUCGGCGAGGUCUCCGGCGGCGGCGAGCAAGGGCAGCGGCGGUGGCUAAGGGCGGCGGCGGCGGCGGUGUAGGGCAGCGGCGGCGGGGGGCACUAGGGCGGCGCGGGCAAGGUGCGGCGGCGGCUUGGGCGCGGCACGGGUGAGGGGCUUGGGGCUUGAUUUGAUGAUUUAGAGGGGGGUGUUGGGGUAUAUAAAGAGGGGAGAGGUUACUUGGGGUAGGGGGCAAGAAAAUAGAGUAGGAAAAGGAAUAGGAGAGGGAGAUUGGAAACGGAGUAGGACUAGAGUCCUACUAGGAAUCCAAAAGGGGCGGCGGCGGCCUCCUCUUGCGCGGGCGCGCUAGGCGCGGCGCGGCGCUGGCCUGGCCGACCGGCUGCUGGCUGGGCCUUGGACCAAGGCGCUGCGAAGAUUUUUUUUUUAAAUCGGUUUCGCGCGAAGAAAAACAAAAGAAAAUAGAACUAAACGAACUCCAAAACUUCUAAAGUAAAUUUUCCCCGACUCCUAAAAAUGAGUCGAACAAAAUGAACUUUUCUCCGGGACCUAGAAUGCAAUUUUUGAAAACGCGCAUUUUUCCCUAUCCAAAUAAAAGGCAAAUGAAACUCCGACAAAAACCAAUGAUCCUCUUUUCGAAAUUUGAGAAAACUCAAAUAUGAAAAUGACGAAAUCUCCAACUCUCUCCGAGGGUCCUUGAGUUGCGUGAAAUUUCUAGGAUCGGCAAAAUGCAAGAGAAUAUGAUAUGCAUGAUGAUCUAGUGUAUAACAUUCCAAAUUGAAAAUUUGGGAUGUUACAAACCUACCCCCCUUAAGAUGAAUCUCGCCCUCGAGAUUCGGGUUGGCUAGAAAAUAGGUGAGGGUGGUCCUUGAGCAAAUCUUCUUCUCUCUCCCAGGUGGCUUCAUCCUCUGAGUGGUGGUUCCACUGAACUUUGCAAAACUUGAUAACCUUGCUGCGGGUAACUCUACUAGCAAACUCGAGAAUCUUGACUGGUUUCUCUUCAUACGUUAAAUCGUCCUUCAACUGAAUCGCUUCUAGCGGCACUGUAUCUCUUAGCGGUACCUCCGCCAUCUCGGCGUGACAUUUCUUCAGCUGAGAAACAUGGAAUACAUCAUGAACUCCUGACAGUCCCUCUGGUAAUUCCAACUUAUACGCGACUUCUCCCAUACGUUGCAAGAUCCUAUAUGGUCCAACGAAACGCGGUGCUAACUUUCCCUUAACUCCAAAGCGCUUAACUCCUCGAAGUGGGGAUACUCGGAGAUACACCCUGUCUCCGGUUUCGUAAACUGUUUCCUUUCGUUUAGAUUCUACGUAGCUCUUCUGCCUGGACUGGGCUACCUUGAGCCUAUCGUGAAUCAACUUCACCUUCUGUUCAAACUCUUUAAUCAAAUCGGGUCCAAACAACUGACGGUCUCCAACUUCGUCCCAUGACAACGGUGUCCUACACCUCCUUCCGUACAAAGCUUCGAAAGGUGCCAUCUUCAAAUUGGUUUGGUAACUGUUGUUAUAAGAAAACUCCGCAUACGGCAAAUUAUCGUCCCAACUAGAUCCAUAAUCUAGUGCACAAGCUCUCAGCAUAUCUUCCAAAAUCUGAUUGACUCUCUCGAUCUGUCCAUCUGUCUGCGGAUGAAAAGCGGUGCUGAACUCUAGCCUGGUUCCCAAAGUUUCAUGCAACUGAUUCCAAAACUUUGAGGUAAAUUGGGUUUCUCUAUCUGAUACAAUACUCCUCGGAACUCCAUGCAAACAAAUGAUCCUAGUCAUGUAUAUCUUUGCCAACUUAGCACUGGUGUAAGUGGUCUUAACUGGAAUGAAAUGUGCUACCUUCGUCAAACGAUCAACUACUACCCAUAUCGAGUCAUAUCCUGCUUUCGUCCUGGGUAGUCCUGUGAUAAAAUCCAUGCCUAUCUUAUCCCACUUCCAUUCGGGUAUCGGCAAUGGUUGCAACAAUUCGGCUGGCUUCUGAUGCUCUGCCUUUACUCUAUGACAUACAUCACAAACUGCUACAUAUGCUGCAAUAUCCUUCUUCAUUCCGGUCCACCAGAAUGUUUCCUUCAAAUCCAAAUACAUCUUGGUAUUUCCUGGGUGAAUCAAAUACGGUGAAUCGUGUGCCUCUUGUAGAAUCAACUUCCUGAUCUCCAGGUCAUUUGGCACAUAAACACGGUCCUCAAACCAUAGGGUAUCAUGCUCAUCCUCAUGAAAUCCCUUUGCUUUUCCUUUGCUUAGUUUCUCCUUUAUAGAAGCAAUCUCCUUGUCAGAUUUCUGAUCUUCUCUGAUCUUAUCCAUCAUUGUUGACUGAAUCUCCAAUGCUGCUACAUAGCCUCUCAAAACUAUUUCCAAACAUAGCUCACGAAGGUUUUCUGCUAACUCCUUUGGUAUACUUCCCGUCAUUAUCGUAUUGACAUGGCUCUUACGGCUCAAUGCGUCAGCUACUACAUUAGGUUUACCGGGAUGGUAAUGCAAUCUCAUAUCGUAAUCUUUGAUGAGCUCCAACCAUCUCCUUUGUCUGAGAUUCAACUCCUUCUGCGUGAAAAUGUACUUCAAACUCUUGUGAUCCGUGUACACCUCACAAUGAUUUCCAAUGAGGAAAUGUCUCCACGUCUUCAAUGCAUGCACUACGGCUGCUAACUCCAAAUCAUGGGUGGCGUAAUUCAACUCAUGAGGUUUUAGUUGUCGUGAAGCAUACGAAACAACUCUACCUUCUUGCAUAAGCACUGCUCCAAGUCCUCGAUGUGAAGCGUCGCAAUAUACCUCAUAAUCCUUGGUCUGAUCUGGCAAAAUCAAUACUGGUGAGGUAACCAAUCGUUUCUUCAACUUCUAGAAACUAGCCUCACACUCCUCAGUCCAUUUGAACUUGGUAUCCUUCUUCAACAACUCCGUCAUAGGCUUCGCAAUCUUUGAAAAGUUCUCAAUGAAUCUCCGGUAGUAUCCUGCGAGUCCAAGAAAACUCCGGAUCUCUCCAAUUGUCGUUGGUGCUUCCCAUUUGGUUACGGUCUCAACCUUUGUGGGGUCAACUGCUAUCCCUUCUCCGGAUAUAACGUGUCCAUGGAAUCCUACUUCCUUCAACCAAAACUCACAUUUGCUGAACUUGGCAUAUAACUGAUGUUCCCUUAGUUUCUCCAAAACCAAACGCAAAUGUUCCUUAUGCUCUUCUUCAUUCUUCGAAUAAACCAGGAUAUCAUCAAUGAACACUACGACGAACUUAUCCAAAAACUCCAUAAACACUUUGUUCACCAGGUUCAUAAAAUAGGCAAGUGCGUUAGUCAAUCCAAAUGACAUAACGGUAUACUCAUACAAUCCAUAUCUUGUGGUGAAUGCUAUCUUAGGUAUAUCCUGCUCUCGGAUCUUCAACUGAUGGUACCCUGAUCACAAAUCGAUCUUGGAAAACACUUUAGCUCCUUGCAAACGAUCAAACAGAUCAUUUAUCAUUGGCAGUGGGUACUUGUUCUUGAUGGUUACUUCAUUCAAUCCACGAUAAUCAACAACCAUCCUUAAUAAUCCAUCCUUCUUCUCCACUAGAAGUACGGGUGAUCCCCAAUGCGAAGAACUUGGGCGAAUGUAACCUUUCUCUAGUAACUCCUUAAUCUGAUUCUUAAUUUCCACCAAAUCCUUUGCUGGCAUCCUAUACGGUCUCUUUGAUAUUGGUCCAGUGCCUGGCAAUAACUCAAUCAAAAACUCAGUGUCUCUAUCCGGUGGCAUGCCUGGCAACUCUUCUGGAAAUACAUCAGGAAAAUCCUUUACCACUGGUACUUCCUCCUGCACUACUCCUGUUAGGCAAUUUACUUGGGUCCUAUUUGGCACAUGUCGGGAUACAUACUUGAUCCUUCUUCCUUCUGGCGUUGUAAGCAAAAUUGUCUUACUAGCACAAUCGAUGUUUCCUCCAUACAUCGACAGCCAAUCCAUACCGAGAAUUACAUCCAAACCUUGGGAUUCCAAUACUAUUAGGUCUGAGGGAAAUACAUAGUUACCAAUCCUUAAUGGUAAAUCCGGGGUCACGUCUCAGAAGCAUUUGAUGGUUUAGAAAAGAUGAGAAAUAAGAAUAGAAUGAGGUCUAAAGAGAAAACACUACCCCAAUGCACAUGAGCAAAUUCACACAAAAUCACUUCAUUCAAUCAAAAAGGGCUUACAAUCGAUCUAGCUAUCGCAAAAGUGCUCGAACUAUAGUGUUUACAUGGGGGGAAUACUACUAAUAUUUGGUGGUCAUCUAGAAAUUUGAACCGGUGGAAGACUCCAUGAUGUCCGCUCCAGCUUCGUCUUCAAAGUCGGGUUCACUUGGAUCCGAAUCGGUGUCGUCGAUGAUGAUGUAAUUAUCCGGACAUGCGACGUACUCGUCUCCCUCCUUGGAUGCUAACUUCCUCUUGAGUUCUUCAAUCUCCUGCUUAAGAUCGACGUUGUGCCUUGCUAGAGCUAUGAUCUCGUCCAUGUAGUCCUUGCGUGUAGCCUUCAGUUCUCCUUCUAGCUCGAUGAUCCUUGCCUUCGCAUUCUUCAACUCUAUCAUAUCAUUGCACAUCUGGUUCUCGUGGCGUCAAAUGUGCUGGUUUAGCUCCUGGAUGAAUGCUGCAAUGGAUCUAUCCUUCUUGGUGCUAACUAACUCCCAUUGUUCAUCUCGGCGUCCGCAAAUCUGGUAGAUAGUGUCCUUGAGGUCUUCUUGAUAAACUUCUCCAAUGCGUCCUAUGGUGAUAUGGGCUGCCAUGCUCCUUCCUAGACUCCAAGUUGGUGCCUUGAAAACACUAACUAUGGGCUUCGUGAUUGGCGCGAAUGUCCUUCCCGGAAUGUGAGCUUGAAUCUUCCAGCGCUCCUCUUCAGGCAGAGUGGCGUUGAAGGUUCCCGUGAAACUUGGUAAUCCAAUGUUUAGGUACUUGGUGACUUCCUUCAAGAGAAAUCCAAAAGGUGUGCCUUCAUCCGGUUGAGCGUACUUAAUCUUCGCGUCCUUCAUCCUAAAGAGUAGAAACGAUGAGGAGUUAGAAAAUGAGGAGAGAAUAGUGAUCUAUGGCUUUAACUUAGUGGUCGUGUCCUAUAGUCAGUGUGUGCCCUGAUACCAUCUCUGUAGCGACCCGACCCGAAUGGAUCAAGUCUACUGUGCUCCAGUGUCAUCCCUGGAUCAGUAAUGCUGACACCACACAGUACAUCGAAGGAUUUAUAGCAGAGUGGCAAUCACACACUUAUUACAUCGAUGUCUCCGAAGAGAACUUAUUACAAUAAUAUGGCUUAAGGCCAUCUAAUAUCGAUAACAGCGGAAGACUUGGAAGGUAAAUGGGUCCAUCAACUCCAACGGCAUCACUGAGUAUAGAACCACGACCUAAAAGCACCUUAAUCAUCGUCUGAAAAGUCUGCAACAUUAACGUUGCAGCCCGAAACGGG
rnacentral:lncRNA from 1 species